UACGGGGGGGGGCAAGCGUUGUCCGGAUUGACUGGGCGUAAAGCGCACGCAGGCGGUUGCGCGCGUGGGGUGUGAAAGCUGGUGGCUUAACUGCCAGAUGCCAUCCCAUACGGCGCGACUCGAGCCCCGUGAGAGGUCCACGGAAUUGCCGGUGUAGUGGUGAAAUUCGUAGAUAUUCGCAAGAACACCAGUGGCGAAGGCGGCUCACUGGCCCGAUACUGACCGCUGAGGCACGAAAAGCGUGGGGAGCAAACAGG
rnacentral:rRNA from 1 species